GCUGUUAUCAAAUGUCAAAUGAAUAAAAUAUUCACCAAUAAAUGUUAUAUUUGCAAUCCUCGUUUUCUGUCAUUUGCAAGUCUCGUUUUAUCCCUCGCAGCACCGACUUAAUAUCCUUUAAUAAGAACUCAUAAUUUGUUGAGCAUGGCAACACGAAAAUACAUCAUCAAAAUUCAAAUUAUUUAUGAUAGAUCCAAGCGUAUAGGCCUAUAGCAUCAAUUCAGAUUUAUCAAGU
rnacentral:lncRNA from 1 species